rnacentral:tRNA from 1 species
GCCUUCGUGGUGUAGUGGUCAGCACGCUCGACGCGUUAUCGAUAGGUCCGUGGUUCGAGUCUCGGCGAAGGCA